UAGGCUACAUGUUGCCAACAUGUUGGCAAUUUGGACUGGAGCAAGAGUUUCAGAGUGGGUAGUCCAAGUGUGGCACAUAGGACAGCCCAAACAAGUGUUUGAGACUCACUCCUGAGCCAGCUGGACCUGGUCUAGAUGCUCCAUGAGAAGACGGUUCUGCUGGUCUCGGGCCUCGUGUUGCCGCCGGCUCUCUAUCUGGCUUUGAAGCUCGUUCAUGUAACGAUGCUGCUGAAUCCUCCUGACAGGAGUAACUGGCCGAGCCGGGAAGAUGAAUGAAGUCUAAACACAAGCAGUCCAAACAAGAUAUUGAAUUUUAAAAAGCCAUUGCUGUAAAAGAUGCAGUGAGUGACAAGAGUUGUAAAAUAAAGUGUUAUUUAAAAUAAUCCUUAAAAA